UUCUCUUGCCAUACCACCCUGAACGCGCCCGAUCUCGUCUGAUCUCGGAAGCUAAGCAGGGUUGGGCCUGGUUAGUACUUGGAUGGAAGACAAG
rnacentral:rRNA from 1 species